rnacentral:rRNA from 1 species
AGGGUUCGAUUCUGGCUCAGGAUGAACGCUGGCGGCGUGCUUAACACAUGCAAGUCGAACGGGAUCCAUCAGGCUUUGCUUGGUGGUGAGAGUGGCGAACGGGUGAGUAAUGCGUGACCGACCUGCCCCAUACACCGGAAUAGCUCCUGGAAACGGGUGGUAAUGCCGGAUGCUCCGACUCCUCGCAUGGGGUGUCGGGAAAGAUUUCAUCGGUAUGGGAUGGGGUCGCGUCCUAUCAGGUAGUCGGCGGGGUAACGGCCCACCGAGCCUACGACGGGUAGCCGGCCUGAGAGGGCGACCGGCCACAUUGGGACUGAGAUACGGCCCAGACUCCUACGGGAGGCAGCAGUGGGGAAUAUUGCACAAUGGGCGCAAGCCUGAUGCAGCGACGCCGCGUGCGGGAUGACGGCCUUCGGGUUGUAAACCGCUUUUGAUCGGGAGCAAGCCUUCGGGUGAGUGUACCUUUCGAAUAAGCACCGGCUAACUACGUGCCAGCAGCCGCGGUAAUACGUAGGGUGCAAGCGUUAUCCGGAAUUAUUGGGCGUAAAGGGCUCGUAGGCGGUUCGUCGCGUCCGGUGUGAAAGUCCAUCGCUUAACGGUGGAUCUGCGCCGGGUACGGGCGGGCUGGAGUGCGGUAGGGGAGACUGGAAUUCCCGGUGUAACGGUGGAAUGUGUAGAUAUCGGGAAGAACACCAAUGGCGAAGGCAGGUCUCUGGGCCGUUACUGACGCUGAGGAGCGAAAGCGUGGGGAGCGAACAGGAUUAGAUACCCUGGUAGUCCACGCCGUAAACGGUGGAUGCUGGAUGUGGGGCCCGUUCCACGGGUUCCGUGUCGGAGCUAACGCGUUAAGCAUCCCGCCUGGGGAGUACGGCCGCAAGGCUAAAACUCAAAGGAAUUGACGGGGGCCCGCACAA